GACUGAAUCGCUUAGUACAAAUUUUUUUGUCAAAUUUAGAGAUAUGCCUGUAAUUGUAUCUGGUUUAGUCAUCAGGGUGGAGGGUAGGAUGGGCUGGUGGCUGGGCCGUUUAGAUAUAUUAUAGAAUGCUGGAGCAAACAGUUGGUAAUUGCAAAGGAUGGUCAGAGAGCAGAUAUUCUUUGCUUCCGCAUUUCUUUAAGUCACAGGUUUCUAAAUGGUACAGUUCAUUACAGAGAGUUACAUGAGAUUGUAGAAGUGGCAGCAAAGAAACUUGAAGAGGAAGCAGGACCAAUGAAUAGAGUAAAUCACAAGAUGACCCGUGGAAUUGUCAGUAGACUAUAUUCAGGAUUGGAGGUACAUAAACUAUGUGCCAUGGGCAUAGAAGAAGUAGAUGUUAUGUUCUCUUGGGUAUCCCAAGCAAGCACUAAUGUUUAUAUCAGAGAUAACGCACUCCAUGGAAUAGAAUUUGUUAGGCAGGUGAUUUGGUUCCUAUUGCUUCAAAAAUUGAAUUUGAUGAUAUCUCAUCCGCAUUUGUUGUAAUUGUCUUAAAUGAGCUUGACAUAAGUCAUCAAAAGAUGUUAUUGGUUACAAGUUGUGGUACCGUAAGAUUAAAGAAAGAAGCUAUCAUGAGGAACCUACACAUGUUACAUUGAGGACAGAGAGAAAAUCUCGAAUCUCAAAUCUCCAGCCCUCAACUGAGUAUAUCUUUAAUAUUGUUUCAUUUACAAAGAAAGGGUUAUUAGGAUACACUGAGAGUAGGUGCUUAACCAAAAGUGAGGACAAGAAUCAUAGAAAUGUUGAACUUCAAACUAGAGAACUUUAAACAUCUGGUGAGAUAGGCUUAGAAAAUUCUAGUUGCUGCUUCUACCAAAGUUCUAGUUGCUGCUUCUACCCCAAAACAAAAGUCUAAUGGCACAUUGGAAUUUCUUGAAAAGGAUUUAUCAAGAAAACACCACUUCCCAUAUUGUGAAAAACCUCAAGCUUGUUCAAAUAAGACAUUUCUCUCCAAUGAUUUGUAUGUGAAUGAAUCGUAGAAAGCACAGUUUAGACUUAUCAGGAUGAAAACACCAGAUGUAAUUCAACUGAAAGUGGAGACCCUGAAGAUGCAUAUGGAAACUCAGUUUCUGCCCUGGAUGAGGAACAUAGCGGUUGAAACAGGUUUGAUGCAGACUUCAUGUGUUCAAGCAGAUUCACACAGAUUCAACAAAUUCAAGUGAUAAAAACAAGGAGAAGGAACUUCCUAAAAGUGAUCAUGAAAAUCAUUCUAAGGUUACACUGUUAGAGGAGACUUGCAACGAUAAUGAGGUCAGCAUGCCCUCUUGAAAUGAAAUGGAUGUAGUUCCUCUUGAUUGUUCACAACUGGUAAUUCCUAUCAGCGUAUGCAAAGGGAAUGGCACUAGAAAUGGAAUCUCAAGAAAUGGUCAUCAAAACCUAAUGGUAAUUCUGAGAAUUGAGUUGUAAAUCCAAUCGGCUGCCAUAGAGCCACAAAUUGGUGGCUCAAGCAAAAGGUCCAACAGAUAUGGUGACUUACACAACUGUGACAGGACUCUACCUAAUGUUGUUCAUAGUUCCUCUCUUGAUUCACUUGUUUCCUUGGAGAAAAUUUAUAAAUAUUGUGUUAAGAUGAUUCGUUGGCUAGAAUGUAAAGGUAAUAUACAAAAGGAAUUUCACAUAAAGUUCCCUACAUGGUUCAACUUACAAGAACAUCUUAGGGCAAAGAAUAGUCUGUUUUUUGUUGACACCAUGUCUGAUGAUCCAGCAAGCUUGGCUGGACAAUUGAUUGAUACUUUCUCCAAGGCAUUUACAGCAAGAGGGCAAAAGUUUUACAUGUUGGAUUUUGUAGCAAGUUGUGGCAUUGAAUAUGAAUGGAAACUUUCUUGUUCCUUAUUUGUUUUAGAUUUUUUCAGUCAUUGGAGUAUUCCCAUUAUAACUGCUAGAUUUUAACAAAGCAUCAGGUCACUCUCAUUGUAUAGUAAAUUCUCUCAUGUAAUCAUUACAGACGAUUUGUCUAUUUGACAUUAUAACCACCACCAU